GACAGAGGGUGCAAACGUUGUUCGGAAUUACUGGGCGUAAAGGGCGCGUAGGCGGCCUUCUAAGUCGAACGUGAAAUCCCCGGGCUCAACCCGGGAACUGCCUUCGAUACUGGCAAUCUCGAGUCCGGAAGAGGUUGGUGGAACAGCUAGUGUAGAGGUGAAAUUCGUAGAUAUUAGCUAGAACACCAGUGGCGAAGGCGGCCAACUGGUCCGGUACUGACGCUGAGGUGCGGAAGCGUGGGGAGCAAACAGG
rnacentral:rRNA from 1 species